rnacentral:rRNA from 1 species
AUACGAGGGGUGCAAGCGUUGUUCGGAAUUACUGGGCGUAAAGGGAGCGUAGGCGGAGAUUCAAGCGGAUUGUACAAUCCCGGGGCCCAACCCCGGCUCUGCAGUCCGAACUGGAUCUCUUGGAUAGUUCAGGGGCAGGCGGAAUUCCUGGUGUAGCGGUGGAAUGCGUAGAGAUCAGGAAGAACACCGAUGGCGAAGGCAGCCUGCUGGGGACUUAUCGACGCUGAGGCUCGAAAGUGCGGGUAGCAAACAGGAUUAGAUACCCUGGUAGUCCGCACCGUAAACGAUGCAUACUGGGUGUCCGGGGGUUCCCCCGGGUACCGUAGCCAACGCGUUAAGUAUGCCGCCUGGGGAGUACGUACGCAAGUAUGAAACUCAAAUGAAUUGACGGGG